GGCGCCGUGGCUUAGUUGGUCAAAGUGCCUGUCUAGUAAACAGGAGAAUGGGUUCGAAUCCCAGCUGUGCCU